rnacentral:rRNA from 1 species
CACGAACGCUGGCGGCAGGCUUAACACAUGCAAGUCGAGCGCCCCGCAAGGGGAGCGGCAGACGGGUGAGUAACGCGUGGGAAUCUACCCAUCUCUACGGAAUAACGCAUGGAAACGUGUGCUAAUACCGUAUACGUCCUUCGGGAGAAAGAGUUAUCGGAGAUGGAUGAGCCCGCGUUGGAUUAGCUAGUUGGUGGGGUAAAGGCCUACCAAGGCGACGAUCCAUAGCUGAUCUUAGAGGAUGAGCAGCCACACUGGGACUGAGACACGGCCCAGACUCCUACGGGAGGCAGCAGUGGGGAAUCUUGGACAAUGGGCGCAAGCCUGAUCCAGCCAUGCCGCGUGAGUGAAGAAGGCCUUAGGGUUGUAAAGCUCUUUUACCAGGGACGAUAAUGACGGUACCUGGAGAAUAAGCCCCGGCAAACUUCGUGCCAGCCGCCGCUGUAAAAC